GUAUUAAAGGCAAUGCCUGCCCAGUGAGAAAUCUUAAACGGCCGCGGUACCCUAACCGUGCAAAGGUAGCAUAAUCACUUGUCCACUAAUUAUAGACUAGUAUGAACGGCCACAUGAGAGUCAAGCUGUCUCUUAUAGCCCAUCAGUGAAACUGAUCUUACAGUCCAAAAGCUGUAAUAUACCCAUAAGACGAGAAGACCCCGUGAAACUUAAAAACCGCCUCAGUCAACACCCCGAGGUCUUUUUUCAGUUGGGGCGACUUUGGAAAACACAAAACUUCCAAACCCAGGGAACUUUCCCCCACACCCAGGCCCACACGCCAAUUAUACGAUCCAGUAUAUCUGACAAAUGAACCAAGCUACUCCAGGGAUAACAGCGCUAUCUUCUUCAAGAGCCCAUAUCAAAAAGAAGGUUUACGACCUCGAUGUUGGAUCAGGACACCCCAGCGGCGCAGCCACUACUAAAGGUUCGUUUGUUCAACGAUUAACAGUCCUACGUGAUCUGAGUUCAGACCGGAGGGU
rnacentral:rRNA from 1 species